GUGCGCUGGGCGGGACCCAUCGCUCGGCUGCGGGGCGGGGAGCGGGGCUGGACCUGGGGCGGCCGAGGAAAUGGCGGCGGCGGGGUGCCCUUCGUCUGCAGGGUGUUCUCAGCCUGCUACAACCCCGGCAGGCUUGUCCCGCCCGCCUUCUAGAGCCGUAGGCUGAGGGAUCGGCCGCGGGAUCGGGAUGGGCCUAGCGGGGCUGGCGGCUGUGGGUAUCCCUGCCCGCCUUGGCUCCUGUGCUCGUUCUUCCCCGGAGCUCCCGGUGUUGCGCACACACCGCCUCUGGAGGGUAGGAAGUGCCUUUGGUAAGUGAAGGCUAGAGAUGGAGUGAUAAGGAAGAGUGUUCCUGGAGGAAACUGGAGAUGCGUCGCUAUGAGGCUGUGUCAAGGAAGGUUUAGGCUUGAUAUUUAAAGGAAAAUAAUAUGAAAAAGAUUCUUCACCCAGGGGGUGGUUGGGCCCUGGAACAGGUUCCCCAGGGAAGUGGUUACAGCACCAACCUGACAGAGCUCAAGAAGUGUUUGGACAAUGCUCUCAGGCACAUGGUGUGACUCUUGGCAUGUGCUGUGCAGGGCCAGGAGAUGGACUUCCAUGACCCUCGUAUGUUUCUUCCAGCUCAAAAUACCAGGCUGUGUGACGUAUCCAGUCCAUGGAAGCAAGGAGUUCAGGGAGUGAAAACUUGACUAGAAAUAUGGGGAGAGACCUGAUACCUAAAAACUGGUAGUACAGCACUUGGAGUUUGUUGUCCUUAAAAACCUCAGAGCCCAGAUGAGCACUGAAGCAUUUUGUUUUUUAACUAAUAAAUGAGCGGCCUUUGUCCUUGCAGUGCCCUAAACACCAAGCUACUGGUUUUUUGACACAACUUAUAUGGCAUCUUGCUGUGUAGUGUCUAUGCCUUUGACUUAACCUUUUACAUCAUGUGUUUACCGUGUUUUCAUUCUUUCUCAGGUAGCCUCCUGCCUUUUGCUGUAAGGCCAGAUCCAAGCCAGAUGCAGGUCUUCAGGUUCUGCUAUUACUAAUGCAGCUGCAGCAGUUAACACCAUCAUGCUGUAUCAUGUCUGUUACCUAUAGCACAGUUCUGCAUGUAAUCUAUUGGUUUGCCUACAGCAGUUACUUGAACUUCUGUAGCCAUUUUGUCACAUUAAGAAUAACAGCAAGUCAGUGCUUUUUAGAUCCAAGAAAGAAUCAGGGAUACAAUAAAUCUUACUUAUUCAGAUAUACUAUUUACUCUUCCAGUGUAUGAAUGCCUGUUCUGCUAUUUCAAGAUGAUAAAAACAGGAGCUUUUAGCUCACUACUUGUUCUCCAGGUACAGGCAGGUAGCAAACUGCAGGCAGCAUGAGGGGUUUUGGCAGCCCCUGGCCUGCUUUUGCCAAGGUCUGUGAAUUAUGAAAGUGUGGGGGAUGAAAGAAUAUUUUGGUGAGUCAUGGCACAAAUGUGCAGUCAUGUUACAGAAUGCACAGCCUUUCCUGUUGUACACCAGUCCCAGUGCCCUGUGCUUCCAUAUACAUUAAAUGUGGGAUAUACCAGUAUUUCUAGUCAUAGGACUGACACACAUUUAAUGAUACCUGACAAAUAAAGUAGAGGCAUAGAGUUUUUGAGUGUCUCCUUUUUAAACAAAAUAGCCCAAUAUCCCUAUGGAAAAGUUAGGCACCAGUGCUAUGUAUUCACGAACAUCAAUAUGAAGUUAUCAGGACUAUAUGCCUACACCUUUUCCAAAAUAACAUGCCUUUGAUGGGGAAAUCCUAGGAAUUCUAACUGAAAACUGAGAGAACAAGUCUUUAUAUCCAUAGGUUUGUGUUGGAUUUCAAUAUUUUUGGUAUAUCAAUUGUCAGACUUUUCAAAUUAGUAUGCAUAAGUAGAAUUGUACAAACAUUCAAAAUUAAAAUUUACUCUUCUUAUGAACCAGUGUAGUACAAGAGGCACAUCCAUUAAUCAGUAAUGGCUUGUCACACUCAAAAGAGAGCUCAAACCAUUGAACUUGGUUUUUUGACUUGCAGGAACCUAUUUUUCAGCAGUUUGUAUUAAAUUGGUUUUCCUUUGUAGAUGAGGCCAAGAUCUGUUUUCACACUGUGGUUACUGUUACAGCUCGUUCUUUCUAAACAUACAAAACCAACUCUUCAUUACAGCACACAGCUUGUUAAUAAUCUCUUACAAAAUAUGACAAUAAGAUAUGACCCACUGUGGUGGAAUGCAAUUUAAAAGGUAUUUUUCCUUCCUGUAAUUUUAGUGCAGGUAGGAUUCAGAAGGUCGAAUGUACAGAUCACCUGAUAGGAAGGGUUGAACAGUUGCUCUGUCUCCUUUGAGAAUUUACUGUUUUAACAGUAUCACAUGUGACACAGUGCAUAUAAUGUUAUUGUGGGUGCUCUUGAGAAAGGAUACUCACCAAAGUGUGCCACAUGUACCAGAUCUUCUUCCCUUCACACAUUGAGGCAAGGAGUAAUUUUCAGAGCACAGAAACAUGUUAGCCUUCAUUUCUCAUGUCUGCCAAUUUGACUGUUUGACUAAAAGCUUGAAGGUUAUUUCAAUAAUUUAACUACAGAAGACAGGAAAUUAAUAGCAAAAAGGUUAGUAUUUGCCAGUUUUCUCACAAGCAAAAUCAGUGCUAGAAUAGCACAAGGGCGUGUGUUGGUAUGCAGAUAAACCAGUGUUGAUUCUGUAUAUUUACUGCUCCAGAUAGUUACAUAGUCUUACAUACUGAAGCUGUGAAAGGAUGUGUGUCAACUAAGGAUUGUGACUGGAGAAGAGCACUUAUUUCAUCAUAACAUACAUCCAUAGUCUCAAACUGUCCAACAUAUCAUAUUUGCAUUAAAAGACCUCAACUAGCCAACCAACAAACCCACAAAACCUCCACAACAAAACAAAAAACAAUAAAUGGUUGUGCUGACUCCAGAAGUUUUCCAUGCCUUUGUUUGGCUCCUGUGUCACCUAGGAUGUUAGAGGGUCCGAGAGCUCAGCAGUCCUUCAGUGAUCUGCUGACUCAGACAAAGGGGGAAGGAGAGCUGCAGUCAUCCCUGCAAGUAUGGGACAACAGUAGUCACAUAAACAUUGGCAAUUAUCUUCUAAAAGCAAAUGUGCCUGUCAUGGGGCAUGAAACAAUGAGCUGUUUGGAGGGAGAAAACCUAAUACGCAAAGAAAAGGGUAGUGUAACAUGGAGGUGACUGCCUGGAGAAGAUGGAAAUAGGAUUUUAUGGGUGUGCUGUGAGUAUUCAUAUUUGUAAGUUAUUGUGGUAACUCUCCUAUGAAGGAUUUUGAUUUUUUUUUUUUUCCUUGUGGCUGAUCAUGAAGACAAAACCACUUGGCAUGCUGUAUCCAUUAACUAAGGAGAACAAGAGCCCCAAUUGCCGGAGUGAUGAAAAAAAAUUAGUGAUACCAUAGAUGUUGAAAGUCUUUUGUUGCAAAAAAAAUAAAUAUCUUUGAAUUUAUUUUGCCUUGUAGCUUCAUGUGAUCAGCAGUAACAAUAAAAUCGGAAACAAAAUUGCAGAGGAUUUCAACUGGGACAACAAGAUCAUGAAUCCCUACUGUUUUAUUGACUUGAUUAGGAGUAAUUCCACAAGAAUUUUCACAGCAAAUAAAUAUCACUAGUACUCAUGGUAAAAUGGCCAAAUGUUUCCAUUUUUAAUGGUACAUGAGAGAAUUGGGAUUCUUAUAGACAUGACUGAAUUGCUGAAGUGUCAGAUUCAGGAAAUAAUAUCACUUGAUCAGAUGACUUUAACUUCUCUUUUUGAGUGCAAAAGGUACCUUUCAGGUUAAAGAAUUCCAGACCUCUAAAGCUUUAUCUCACAAAGUAAAGCCAUGCAACAGUACAUGUAACUUAGAGGCUGAUGAAGGAGACAAAGUGCAGUGACACAUUGAAGUCUGUGAAAAAUCACUGUAAACUUUGUAAGAAAUCCCUGCAGGCCUCCAUUAUGCACUUAGCAAUCUCACUUUUGAGAUUUCCCUAAUUUACUGACAAAAAGCUGCAUUAAAUUCAUCUACUUGGGAACAAAGUUUGAGUUUGACCCUGUUUAGGAGGAACUUAGAUUUCAAAGACAAUAUGGUGGAUGUUUCUUAUGUCAGGAUUGUACCAUAUAUCAAUAUAAAUAGCACAAGAACAUAAGGAAGAGCUCUUCAACAGAUUUCCACUUCAGGCUGAAUCUUUAUGAUGUCAGUAAAAACAGUAGUAUAUUAUGACUAGACCUUCUGUUUCACUUCAUUGUUACGACUAAACUUCCUAUUUUUAUUGUGCCCUAAUAAUGAUGCUCCUUCUAUUUCAUUUUAGUAUUCCUAUUAAUUUAGUCUAAUAAAUCCCUGCUUCUCUGCAGUACCACUGAUCUGGGAAAUGUCCCUUUUCAUUUCACAAAGACGAGAAAGGACAGAGACAAAGGGAAAUGGAAAGUACUACGGUCAAAAGAGCAAAGACUUAGGCUGUCCAAUUAGGUCAUGUGCAAAAUUACCACAAUUCUAAAAUGUCUCCUGAAUGUUAUUGAGACCUAGAUUAGUCGGAGGUGAGUAUAUUUGAGUUCUUGCAUUUGGCAUAGUUUCCAAAUGUGCUUGAAAUGCAGAGCUGUAAUGCAUCUAAAAAAUUUCUGUCCAAAUUAAAAUCUUCAUAUGAAUUUCUGUAUGAUACUUGGAUAUACUGUGGUCACUGCCAGAUAUGGGAUAUUUCCAAGAAAAGUGAUAUUGCCAGUCACUGUGUGGGUUUCAGCUAGGGUAGAGUUAAUUUUCUUCAUGGUGGCUGGUAUGGGGCUAUAUUUUGGAUGUGUGCUGAACACAGGGUUGAUAAUAGAGAGAAGUUUUGUUAUUGCUGAGCAGGGCUUACACAGAGCCAAGGCCUUUUCUGCCUUUUGUACUGCCAUGCUGGUGAGGCUGGGGGUGCAUGGGAGGCUGGGUGGAGACACAGCCAGGACUGGUGACCCCAGCUGACCAAAGGGAUAUUCCAGACCAUGGGACAUCAUGCUCCGUAUAUAAAGUGGGGGAAGAAGGAGGAAGGGGAGACAUUUGGGGUGAUGCUCUUUGUCUUCCCAAGUAGCUGUUUGAAGUGAUGGGCCCCUGCUGUCCUGGGGAUGGCCUGUCCAUGGGCAGCAAUGAAUUAAUUCCUUGUUUUGCUUUGCUUUGUGUGCACAGCUUUUGCUUUCCCUGUUAAACUGUCUUUAUCUCAACCCGUGAGUUCUCUGGCUUUCCCCUUUCUGAUUUUCUCCCUGAUCCCAGUGUUUGUGAGGCAUAGUGGCUGUGUGGGGCUUGGCUGCUGGCUGAAAAUUGCUGUAAAUUAGUAGAAUGAUCAGAGUGGCAGGAACAAACAGCAAAGUGUACUAAUUUUGUAUAUUUAAUACAGUAACUGUACAAUUUAUUUACUUAAAAAUAAACCAAAACUGAGUGGUGACAUAGUGUUAUAAUCUCUUUAUUUUUCAUUACAGCUUCUUAGGCCAGGGAAGGAGAAACAGCAGUCUGAGGUGAAUUGACUUCAGAAACUUAAGGGCAAACCUGUUGCCAUAUUCCUAAGUCAGCAAUGCCUAACCAUGACCAGCAAGGUGAGGAGCAGUUCACACAUCCCCUGGCAGAGCCCCGUCAGCAUGUGCUGCCGGAGCUUCCUGCUGAAGGUGACACUCAGCAAGUGCUGCCUUUCAGAAUUUGGAAAUUCAACCAGUGCAGACGAAGAUGUAGGUAGCAGUCACAGGAGAUUAAAUGCUGCUAUGUGUAACGAAGCAUGAAGAUGACAAGAUAUACAAACAAGAGGCUUUUCAGCUCGAUCACAUCAUCCAGCACAUAAUUAUACAGAUUUUGUAUUUCAGACACCAGUGUCAACCUGGGGUUGAAAUCAUUCUAAAAGAAUCUGUAGGAGUAAGUAUAAAUAAGAUAGUUCCCCACACCCCAAUUACUUUUGUACUUUAAAAAUAGAAAGGAAAAUGAGUCGUCCUGACUUUAAGGGAUGAGUUGUGUGUGGUAUUUGUGAUGGAAAAUUCUUUCUAAAAUAAACACAGUAAUAAAUGGUCUUCUUUUUUCCUCUCAUAUUUUAAGGGGACAGCCUGCUUCUAGUGACAGAGUACUAGACUAGAUUUAUCCUGAUCUCUUUUAGUACUUGACUAAUACAUACAGCAGUAUCUAUUACAGUCAUUAUUUGUAUCAAGCAAAGUAUUUUUCUGUAGUUUUUCUGUUAAAUUUCUCUAAAGCCACAUGCAGAAUGAUACCUCCCAUGUUGUAUUUUAGUUCCAGCAACUCUAAUGUGGAUGAUACCCUGAUGGGAUUUUGAAAUCCUGAAAAACAUGAAUGUGACAGGGGAGCUUAGAUGAGACUUUAGAAAAUAUUACCAAUCAUUUAACUGCUAUUACAAAAUUUUUAUAAAUGCUGAAUAAAGGUGUCAAAUAAUAAAUGUAUCAGCCUCUAUUAAUUUAGUUCCUGCGCUUCAUUACUGCUAAAGACAAUAUUGAUCCAAAAUUUAUUAGCAGUGUUCUGCUAGAGCCAGUGGAGGGCAGACUUGAAUUGGAAACUCUUUUUGCUACUGCAGUUACUCGAAGUUAAAAUAUCAGAUAUAUCGUGUCUUGAGCUCAAAGUCUCAUCACUUCUCUAGAAUUCUAAUUACACUUGUGCUGGAUAAAAGCCUCUUUGCAGUUGCUGUUUGCCAAAAUGAGUGUUUUGCGAAUGUUUAAAUAAAGAUGCUAAUAUGAAAGUGAAUAAAUCAGUGUAUUAGCAGCUGUGUGUUACUCAUCAGGGAUAAUCCACACUGCUUAAUCCUCAACCAUGUAUAUCUUGAAAUGUUUGUUAAAAGCUAGUGAAUAUAAUUAUCCCCAUUUUUCAGAUAAAGAAACUGAGGAAUAGAGUGGUAACCUUGCAGAUUACCCAUCCCGGUGACCUACAGAAACAAGAAUAAAAUCCAGUUUUUUGAGAUCUAGUCCAAUCCUUUGCAACAUAAACUCUUUAAACUCUUGCAAACAUUAUGGAAAUUAUUGCUAGCAGCCCAGAUUGUGGAGACUGAGGAGCUUACACUGAUGAAAUAGCAGGCAAACUGACAGGUCAUAGAUCUUAAGAAGAAUAUUCUUCCCAAGAAGAUGGGUGGCAGUCAGAUCAAAGGCCUAAAGAUCGACUUUAAAGUAAUAUUUUAUUAUUAAAACAAGUACUUUGCAUUUUUAGGCAUACUUGUUAUUUUUUAAGUUAGGUUGUAGUCUUUCCAAUAACCUUUAUGAUAGCCUGUGUCUGACUCUUGUUAAGUAUAAUGUGUUAUGGCUUCAGACAUUUUUAAGUGCUGUGUGAAGAUUGGUAAGAAUAUAUUAUAAAAGAAGCCACUUUAAGCUUCUUGGUCAUUUCUCCUUGUACCUCGUGCAGUUGUACCUCACAAAGAGCUGUCACCUCCAAAUUGUCAUCACUUUCCAUCAUUCACAGAGGCCUGAAUAUGCAAUGAUCUCAAAAGGGAAAAGAUUCAUUUACUCUUCUGCAGAACAUAACUCUCCUUGAAAUAACCACCAACUGAAGGCAUUUGUAUACAGGCUCAUUUUGUAGUAAACCACUGGAUGCCUCAGCUCAGGAAACAGCAAGAAAGAUAAUGAUUCAAUUAACGAAAACUGCUGCUUUGAGAAAUGUGGUUUCCAGUCUCAAAGUUAUUUUAUUCAUCCCUAAUUAUUCGUUGCUGAAAACUGUUAACCACUAUUAGGGGCAGGUAAGUCUGAGGUUUGGGGGUAUGGCUGGUUUUGCCUGCUGUAAGUUUCACAGAUGUACACUUCUACCUCCAUAAUGAUCUUUUCUUUCACUAAUUCUAGAUGGUGUGUAUUUUGUUUGUACCCAACAUUCCCUUUUAUUUGUAAAAUAUGUCUGAAACGUUCAAAACAUUAGUGUUUUAAGAGCAGUUAAAAUAGUACUGCCUCAGAAACACAUCAUUGUUACCUAGAGUUGUGUUUGCUGUGCUGAGCAGGCCCAGCUGAGUUACAGAUAAGGCAAAAUAACUGUAUUAGAGCAGGUUGGCCAAAAGCUUGUCCCUGUAUUUCUUUACAUGGAAAAUAAAGGAUAGAUGUAUGUACUGUCUGAAUAGAGAAAUGAUGAUGUGUGCCUGUGCCAAAAUAAAUCCAAUAGUAUUCUAUUGGAAAAAUAAACUUAGUUUUGGACUUUAAAACAUGGAAUAUGCCAUGUAUAAAAUACAUAUUUGAUCAAGAUCAGUUCCUCUGGUAAUGUUCCUUCAGAGGUGAGAGUUUUAAUGACAGGGAAAAGAUACUUCUACAUCUAUGGAAGUUAAAGCCUGCUGCUGUCAAGUGGCCAGGACCCUUAAAUGUGUGUUGAAGUGUCUUACUCUUAGUAAAUCAGAAGUGUUUAUACUUGCUGUCUCAAGUAGUAGAAAGAACACCAGCAACUGCUUCCAUGUUUACAAUUCUGUGGAGUCUGCUACCUGUGAGCAGACUCCACUUAAAUAAAGUCUCUAGAAUUACUAAUUGCUAACCUCAUUCUUGACAUACUUCAGCCUCCAACAGCCUGCUGCAACUUCUGUUACACCUUCUGGGAUUCUAUCUAUAGCAAUUGCUUUCUCUCCCCAGUUGGCACCAAGCCAGAAAUAUAUCCCUUUGCACAAAUGCUUCUUAACCUUGUUCACACUGGGGUUGGAGGGAGAAGGGGGGGAGCCAUAUUUUUUUCUUUCUGCUUGUCUGGUAGGUGGAUACUUUUAUAGUAAAUUCAGUACUUUCCAUGUUCACUCUGUAAUGGAUAAGUGGUUACAAUGCUUUUUCUAAGGUACUGUUUGUUUCCCUUUAAGUGCACUGAAUAAAACUAUUUCUCCAUGGUCA